UACAGAGGGGGCAAGCGUUGUUCGGAAUUACUGGGCGUAAAGGGCGCGUAGGCGGCCUGUUAAGUCGAACGUGAAAUCCCCGGGCUCAACCCGGGAACUGCGUCCGAUACUGGCAGGCUUGAAUCCGGGAGAGGGAUGCGGAAUUCCAGGUGUAGCGGUGAAAUGCGCAGAUAUCAGGAGGAACACCGGUGGCGAAGGCGGGUCUCUGGGCCGAUACUGACGCUGGAGGAGCGAAAGCGUGGGGAGCGAACAGGA
rnacentral:rRNA from 1 species